CCUCCAUCCGAUUCCAGAAGUUUCACUCCAACAUCUGCUCCCAAUUUCCAAUUGCAUUUCUCUAUCCUGUCACUUGUGUUCUUCGCCAUUUUAUAUAGACUUUUCUCCAAAUCACACCAUGUACUACGGUUAUCUGUACAGUCUGCUUUGUGAAGCAUUUUCAGAAGGUUCACUUCACGUGAAUCUUCGCUGUCGAUUUCUAGUCCGUGUAUUUGAUACUCAACAAUUUUUGAUAGAAUACUACUAAAUCUCACACAGCCCGCAGGCAAUUCUUGUAAAUAGCCCUACCUUAUGGUUUGACGACGUUGUUUGUGUUGGAUUUUCAAUACCACCUGCAGAUCGGUUCGGGUAGCACAAUACUUUACUGUCUAGGUUGGAUCGGUCACCCAAGGGACAACUUAGCUGGCUUUUCUGUGGUAGGAUUAGUUAGCUGGAUUUUCUGUAAUUCUCACGUCAAGUAAACUUACUUCACACUGUUCCUCUUUCAUGUUUGGUUAAAAUUUUGUUAGUACCAUCUCAUAGCCUGUAUAGCAUUGCCUCCCACUUUCAAUUUCCUAUAGUUUUUUUUUGUUGCAAAUGCUAUAGUGAACUAAGUUGCAUCAUCAUUGCAUUUGCUCACUGCCAUGGGUGUUUUCACAUUUAAGUUUCACUCCCUUAAUAAUUGACAGUUUUGCACCUAAGUAUUGUUCUUCCCCGAAAUCUUUAAUGUUUGUAACUUCAUAAAUUUUAAAUUCAAACCCCAGGCAUUUAAAAGUUAGCUAUCCCUGGAAUACUUUCUCUAUUUUCUUAGAUUCAAAUCAGAAUCAAGUUAAGCAGCUAUUUGGACUUAUGUCUUUAGCACGGAAACAAUACUGGUAAUUUAUGAUUGUUAUAAGCAGAAAUAUUCCAACUUUUAAAGCAGGUCUCUAUUGCAGGUGGAGUAAAAGGGAGAUCACCAACACUCUGUAAAUUCAUUUUUGUUUGGUAAUGGAAGCUCUUAGUUUUGGUAAAGCUAAAUCUCAAAGAAAAAUAUGCUGCAUAGAUUCCAAACGCUGCAUUCUCGAUCUGCAUAUAUACUGUCAAAUUCAAAAAUAAGUUUAAUGGUUUAAACUUAUUCCAAUACUCUUAGAAUACAUUACCUCUUAACAGGCAAAUGGGAGAUCCAUAAAUUUGAAUGCAGGCUCUAAUUCGGCAAGCUGCUUGCUUUCCUCUCCGGCGAGGCUUCCGGCAUCACUGCUGCCCUGCACAAAUCACUGCUGCCUUGCACAGCCUAGUUCGGUCGUCAAUUAUAAACUCAGAUGCCUCUACCAAAAUGUAUUUAUAGAACUCCAUGGAUGGCAGAUAUGAAUGUAUCCUAUUAAUGAUAACCCAUCGGUUGAGGAAACGAUGAGUCUUCAGUAAUAUCUGCAUUGACACACUGCAGCCGGCAUUGAAAGGAUUGAAAUCGAAAUACGAAAGGGUUUAAGCAA